GACCUCGUAGCUCAGUUGGUAGAGCAUUGGACUAGUAUCCCAAAGGUCGCGGGUUUGAUUCCCAACGUGGUCA
rnacentral:tRNA from 1 species